rnacentral:rRNA from 1 species
AUUUAUUGGAGAGUUUGAUCCUGGCUCAGGACGAACGCUGGCGGCGUGCUUAACACAUGCAAGUCGAACGGAGUAUUUUAUUUCGGUAAAAUACUUAGUGGCGAACGGGUG